rnacentral:lncRNA from 1 species
CAGCUUUGUCCGACGCCACUGCACUUUCUGGCUCACCUCCAUCUCUUCCAACCCCAAGUCUUUGGCAUGCUUGAAGAGGAAUGCUACACGGGUGAAUAACAGAAACACGGAUAUGAGCCACUCAGAAUUCAAGGCCCAACUCACAUCCCAGAAUAUUCUGAAGAACGCAACAGGCCAUUCUGAGGAUUUCUUUCCUUUAACUUUGCAA